UCGGGCCAUCGGCAACCGCCCGGUCAGCUGUCACGCAGCCAAGCGUUGU
rnacentral:ncRNA from 1 species